rnacentral:rRNA from 1 species
AAGUUAAUAGUCGUAGACCCGAAACCGUGUGAUCUAUCCAUGGGCAGAGUGAAGUUGAAGUAAAAUUCAAUGGAGGCUCGAACCGGGUAGCGUUUAAAAGCUAUCGGAUGACCUGUGGAUAGGGGUGAAAAGCCAAACGAACACGGAGAUAGCUGGUUCUCCUCGAAAUAGCUUUAGGGCUAGCCUCUAGUGGAAACAUGAAAAGGGGGUAGAGCACUGACUGGUCGCGGGGCAUGCAUAUGUUACCAAGACCUAUCAAACUCCGAAUACCAUAUCAUGCACUAGGGAGUCAGACUAUGUGGGAUGAGCUUCAUAGUCGAAAGGGAAAGAGCCCAGACCAUCAGCUAAGGUCCCAAAAUUAUAGUUAAGUGGGAAAGGAUGUGGAGUUACUGAGACAACUAGGAUGUUGGCUUAGAAGCAGCCACUCAUUCAAAGAGUGCGUAAUAGCUCACUAGUCAAGUGACUCUGCGCCGAAGAUAACCGGGGCUAAACUAUAUACCGAAGCUAUGGAACGUUAAACGUUGGUAGAGGAGCAAUGUAUGGAGGACGAAGCAGAAGCCGUAAGGCACUGUGGACACCAUACAAGAGAGAAUGCUGGCAUGAGUAGCGAGAGGUGAGUGAGAAUCUCACCCGUCGAAAACCCAAGGAUUCCUGAGCAAGGCUCGUCCACUCAGGGUAAGUCGGGACCUAAGGCGAGGCUGAAAAGCGUAGUCGAUGGACAACAGGUUGAAAUUCCUGUACCGAUACAAUCGCAAUAAAGGAAGUGGGGACGCAGGAGGAAAAUAAGAGCGCCCAGUUGGUGAGGCGUGCAAGCGCAAAGUCUGGAAAGUAGGCAAAUCCGCUUUCCAAUAAGGAUGAAGCGUGAUGCGGAUCGAAAACAAGUAGAGAAGCUUAUGAAUCCACACUGCCAAGAAAAGCCACUACAAGAGAAGUAUCGCCCGUACCGUAAACCGACACAGGUAGGUGAGGAGAGAAUCCUAAGACGAGCGGAAAAACCUUUGUUAAGGAACUCGGCAAAAUGACCCCGUAACUUCGGGAGAAGGGGAGCCCCUGUAAAAGGGGGCCGCAGUGAAAAGGCCCAAGCGACUGUUUACCAAAAACACAAGUUUCUGCGAAGUCGAAAGACGAAGUAUAGGAGCUGACACCUGCCCGGUGCUGGAAGGUUAAGGGAAAAAGUUAGCGCAAGCGAAGCUUAGAACUGAAGCCCCAGUAAACGGCGGCCGUAACUAUAACGGUCCUAAGGUAGCGAAAUUCCUUGUCGGGUAAGUUCCGACCCGCACGAAAGGUGUAACGAUUUGGGCACUGUCUCAACAAAGGAUCCGGUGAAAUUGUAGUAGCGGUAAAGAUGCCGCUUACCCACGACAGGACGGAAAGACCCCGUGGAGCUUUACUGUAGGCUGAGAUUGAAUUUUGGGAUUAAAUGUACAGAAUAGGUGGGAGGCAGAGAAAUAGGUACGCCAGUAUCUAUGGAGCCACCGUUGGGAUACCACUCUUUUAAUGCUAGAAUUCUAACCUACCCCCAUGAAUCUGGGGAAGGGACACUCUCAGUUGGACAGUUUGACUGGGGCGGUCGCCUCCGAAAGAGUAACGGAGGCGCUCAAAGGUUCCCUCAGCACGGAUGGAAAUCGUGCGAAGAGUGCAAAGGCAGAAGGGAGCUUAACUGCGAGACCAACAAGUCGAGCAGAUGCGAAAGCAGGACUUAGUGAUCCGGUGGUACCGAGUGGAAGGGCCAUCGCUCAACGGAUAAAAGCUACCCCGGGGAUAACAGGCUUAUCUCCCCCAAGAGUCCACAUCGACGGGGAGGUUUGGCACCUCGAUGUCGGCUCGUCUCAUCCUGGGGCUGAAGUAGGUCCCAAGGGUUGGGCUGUUCGCCCAUUAAAGAGGCACGCGAGCUGGGUUCAGAACGUCGCGAGACAGUUCGGUCCCUAUCCGUCGUGGGCGUAGGAAAUUUGAGAGGAGCUGUCCUUAGUACGAGAGGACCGGGAUGGACAAACCUCUGGUGCACCAGUUGUACUGCCAAGUGCAUAGCUGGGAAGCUAAGUUUGGAAGGGAUAAGAGCUGAAGGCAUCUAAGCCCGAAGCCCCCCUCGAGAUGAGAUUUCCCUCGCAAGAUAAGACCCCUAGAAGAAAAUUAGGUAGAUAGGCUCAAGGUGU